rnacentral:lncRNA from 1 species
ACCAAACUGAGCUUUUUUUGCUCCAGAAAAUACAAAGAAUGAUGAUUUUACGACGUCCCACGUUUGGCUAACUAAAGUACAUAGACGGGAUUGGAUACCCCUUUCCCCAAAUACAGUGCUUUCAUGUAGCUCAUAAAGUACGUACAAGUGGAGAUCAUCCCAUUCAAAGCAAGGGUGCUUCUUGGACCUAAGAAACUUGAACCACUCAUCAAGUGGAUUAUUAUGUGAACAAAAGGAAUACAGAAGAUUCUGCAAUGAAGAGUCAGGGGUCUUGAGUUCCUGAGCUUACAAAAUAAUAAUGAGCUUCCAUGGGGAAAAACCAUA